AACGAACGCUGGCGGCAUGCCUAACACAUGCAAGUCGAGCGAGCUCCUAGGGUCUAGUGGCGCGCGCGUGCGUCACGCGGGGGAAUCCGCCCUUUGGUUCGGAAUAACAGUUGGAAACGACUGCUAAUACCGGUUGAUGACGAAAGCCCAGAGAUUUAUCGCAGGAGGAUGAGCCCGCGUAGGAUUAGCUAGUUGGGGGGGUAAAGGCGCACCAAGGCGACGAUCCAUAGCUGGUCUGAGAGGAUGAUCAGCCACACUGGGACUGAGACACGGCCCAGACUCCUACGGGAGGCAGCAGUGGGGAAUAUUGGACAAUGGGCGAAAGCCUGAUCCAGCAAUGCCGCGUGAGUGAUGAAGGCCUUAGGGUUGUAAAGCUCUUUUACCCGGGAUGAUAAUGACAGUACCGGGAGAAUAAGCCCCGGCUAACUCCGUGCCAGCCGCCGCCGUAA
rnacentral:rRNA from 1 species